rnacentral:sRNA from 1 species
GGGCAGUGCCUUUCAGGCAUCCUCUCCUAAACUUUACGGGCCGGUCCUUCACAGGAUCGGCCUUUUUUUUGGGUUAG